rnacentral:lncRNA from 1 species
GCCAAAAAUUGGCUAAGUCCCGCGAGACGAGCUCUCGGGGACCGGUCUCUGGUGGGUAGACCGGUCUCCGGGGGACCGGUCUCUCAGGGAGAGACCGGUUCCCGAACGCGUGGAAAAUGGGAAGGUCCUCUGGGACCAGUCCCAUGUCGGGGAGACCGGUCCCUCCGCAUGGGUUCAACCCAGUAAGGGCCAGUUGAGAGAUAGAAAGUUGAGGGGCUUCUUAGCAUUUUGUUACAAUAUGAGAGGGGAUUAAGAGAGGGUUUCUCUCUCUCUUUCUCUCAUUCCCUCACUCUCCCUCACUGCUCUUUCUCUCUUUCCGAUCGUGGAAGAAGAAAAAGGAAAAAAAAAAAGAAGAGAAAAAAGAAAGAAAAAGAGAAGAAAAGAAGGAGAAAAUGGGAUUUUGUGAUUUGGGAGGGUUUGAUCUUAUUUGACCCUCUGUAAACCUAAUUGAUAGGUAACGAAACGCGUUGGCGAAGUCGGUUUGGCAAUCCGACAAGCCAUUACAAAGAUAUCGAAGAAACGGACGUUUGGAGCUUCGUUUCCGCCUGGAAGGCCGAGGCGACGUCCAUAAAUCGCGAGAUUGGAUCCCGAGCACCGUGACAACAAAGCGAAGACCUUUAAUUCUUGGAACGGCAAAGCGGCGCGCUAUUGGAGUGCAACUACAAGAUCGGGCCCAAACGGGUGCCGAGUGUUGCGGGAGGCCGAUUGCAAGUGUCGACGAGCAAUUGGAAAGCUAAGGUGGGUUGUGCUUACCGAAGCGACUAGGUCGCCCUUUAUGUCUAAGAACAUACGGUUUCAUAUUGACGCAUGUUAAUAAAAUGACGUAGAUGAUGCAUAUAUUAAAAAUGCUAAGUAGAAUGCAUGAUGAACAUGAUAUAUAAAUGCUAGAGGAUCGCAUGAGUGCAUGAGUAGCAUGACUAUAUAUAUAUGCAUGUAAACUAGAUGAUAACUCUAGAAGUGUAGAGUUGAUUGACAUGAGAACAAUAGAAUACUCGAUUGGACAAUUAGGAUGUCAAUUAGAUCGAGUGGCACCUAAACCUAGUGUUAAAGAACAUAGGUUAAACGAGUAAACCUAGAGUCGAACAAGUCUAGGUGUGUGGCAUCGAACCUAGUGUUAGUAAACAUAGAUCGAACAAGUGAACCUAGAGGUUGACAUCUAGGCAGAGAUGAGAUGGAACCUAGCGGUUUUACCUAGGUUAUGUAUAUGAUAAACCUAGAGUGAAGUUAAACCUAGGUUGUUGAGAAUAGUGGUAUUGACCACUAGGAUGUUCUAGGUCGACAACAUAGGGUUGGUUAUGGACCCUCGACCUGUGGAAAGUGGAUUCCGGAAUCCCAGGACUUGUGAUGACCCUGGUAUCAAGGCUAGGGCGUGUGCGACGACUUUGCCGCCGAGGUUGAUACCGAGGGAGGAUUGGGGGCGAUCACAUGGAGAUCACCGCUCGGAGCUUGGACCAUUGACGUGGCGUGUGCGACGAUUUCGCCGCCAAAUGGUUAAGUCGAUUGUCGAUCAGACCGCCGGGAUUGACUGAAACCAUUGCUGGGCAAGUACAAUACGGGUGCCGCCAGGUGGCUGAGUCGUGACUGAAAUCAUUGUUGGGUAAGGUGCGAUUAGUUCGCCGCCAGAUGGAUAGGUCAUGACUUGAGUCCUCGCUGGGUAAAUGCAAUGUGUUUGCCGCCAGAAUGGCUAUGUCAAGGGACUUGAGCCGGGUUCAGCAUGUGCGACGAUUUCGCCGUUAAGAGGCUAAGUCACAGAAGGCGGUACGCUGUUGAGCGGCCAGUGCACGGACUAUCCGCGGAUGAUUGACUCGAAGCCGAGUCGGGUGGUUAGCUUCGAUAAGAUAGUGGAACCCUUAUGAGCUAGUGAUAGAGGCUUGAGCUAAGGUAAUAGAGACCUUAGAAGCCAGUUGACUUGAGUGUGACCCUAAGGCAAUAGAAACCUUAGAGUUGAAUGAUAUGAGCUAAGAGUAGCCAAGUAGAAUCAAUUGAUCUACUAGUUGUUGCAUAGAGUUGCAUGAUUUUCAUAUCACAUAUCGUGAGGCAUGGCAUGUAUUUCAAUUCGAAUAUAUAUAUCUGUUGUAUAUUGUUGAACUAACAUGUUGCAGUGCCUCCUCGGACCUAUUGGUCGAACUUUUUCCUUGGGUGGCCGUACCCACUGAAAACCAUGGAGUUGGUUCUCACCCCACGUUGUUUUGGGGUGUUACAGGUUCGCACGUGAGCGGCGCAGCGGCACGAGGAAAGAGCGUAGCUCCAUAGAUAGUGCCCUACCACAGAGACCGAGGUAGCAGUACCCUGAGACAGUCUAGCUUAGGGGACUAGAAGACAAUGAACCAAGUUGUAUCAAUCUUUGUAAAUCAAAUGUAAUAACUGAGAUUGUAUUUGGAAGUCUAAUGUAAAAGAAAAACUGUGAUGUAAAAUGCAUGUAAUGAGAAUGCUUGUAAUAGCUAUAAGUUUAUGUUGUUGAUACUUCCUCAUGCAAUCUGUUUGUUGGUAUCGGUUCCUGGUUGGAACCUUCGUAUUGUGUUGAUUGCGAUGCCUUGAAUGUACAUGGGAGUCUCUAUCCGCAGUACAGGGAAAAUCCUGUCCGUUCGGCGGUCUGUCGGUGUGCCCGCGACCCGGCCAAAUAGGCGGGCGGUCGCGGGGUGUGACAGAUAAAGUGGUAUCAGAGCAUAAAGUCGAGAAUAAGAAAAUGGUUUAGACAGGCCUAGGAGACCCUAGGAUAUUGAAACCAUAGGAGAAUAAGACCCGUGAGAGACGAGGACUUGUGAUUCGUGGCGAAAGGUUAAUGGAUUGGGUUGUGUCGGAAUCUCUAAGACGGAUAUUAGAGGUAGACUUAAGGUAAGGUUUAUUCUUGACCAAGAGUGUUCAUGUUGGGCGCGUACAACAUGAAGCCGAGUGACGAGAAUAGACGUCCUUGCGUGACUUUCGCCAGAUUGACUUUUGAGUCGGUGUUAGUGGUCUCGUGUUCGGCCCAGUAGGUCGAGAACUAAUCGAGUUGUCCUGUUUCAAGAAGCGAUGGCACCACGUAGGCGAUCUUCGUCCAGAUCGGCGCCGGAGGGGACAAGUGGUGUCCCUGAGCAAACCGACGCGAGCGGAGACGUGGAGCUUCGUGAUCAGUUGGCCACACUCGUUAGAGUGAUGAGGCAACAGGCUGAUGUAGUGCAGCGGCAGCAGGAGGCUGCAAUGGGCCAAGAGGAGCGAAUGAAACGACUCUAGGAAACCUUGGAUCGACUGGUGGCUGCACCAGCUGCGGCUCGUCGAGAACGGCUGGGAGUUGGGGCGGAGAUGUUUCCAUCGGGGUCGGGCGACCCGACUUCUAUUAGUCCAGAGGUAGCGGCGGAGAAGAAGCGAGCUUUGGCUGCCUUCAUGGCUUUCAAGAAAUUUGAUCCGCUUACCUUUGAUGGAGAGGAUGCAGAUCCGUGGGUCGUUGAGAUGUGGAUCGAUUCUAUAGAAACACUCUUCGAGGAUCUGUACGUGUUGGAGCGAGACAAGGUAAACCUAGCCGCGCACUAUCUGAAACAAUCGGCGAAGGUGUGGUGGAAAGGCGUCAAGCAAGAUCGAUCGCUUAGUCUCCCUCCUAUGACUUGGGAUGAGUUUCGAGGGUUAAUAUUCUCUGCUUAUUUUCCCGACAGUGAGAGGCGGAAGCUUUAGGAAAGGUUCCAAAAGCUGCGGCAAGGAGAUCGCUCAGUCAAGCAUUACGAGCGGGAGUUCUCCCGUAUCGUGCAUUGUAUUCCAGACGUGGUACAGGAUGACAAGGAUAAGGCCAACUGCUUUGUGCGUGGACUUUGGCCGGAUCUUUACAAGCCUGUACUUAUGCUUAAGUUGCAGACUUUUGCCGAAGUCCUGGAUCGGGCCUUGUGGAUAGAACAAGGCGAGGCAUCUCUGCGGGAGAGGCGCGAGGCCUAUUACGAGGAGAAAAGAAAAGGACGACCAACGAGUGGACAUGAUGGUCAGUCAAGUUCCCAACAGACCUCGGUGAGUUCGCACUCUCGAUCUCGAGCUCCGGGGACGUACCACAUUCUGUCCUCGAUGAGAUGUGUGAUUUGUGGGGGCCCUCGUUACCCACAGCAAUGUGAGCAGCGAGAGGGCAAGUAUUUUAAGUGUGGGCGACCAGGCCAUAUGCAGGACGAGUGUCUGCAAGGUGAUAGCCAGGCCUUGACACUAGUGACGGCCCAUUCCUCUCCGCGACGGCCUGCAGGUGUGCAACCUGCGGCAUGGUCGGGGGAGCAGCCGUUGAGGACGAUGCAACCGGAGGGUUCACGGCGAGUGCCAAGCAUAUACUUUUGCAUGAUCUCAAGUUCGUGCAUGGCAUGCAUUCGUCAUUGGUGAGUUGCUACUAUUAUUACGUUGCAUAGUAGGGACCNUCCGCGACGGCCUGCAGGUGUGCAACCUGCGGCAUGGUCGGGGAACCUGCCGUUGCUGACGACGUCAUGGCAGGUAUGAGUUGAUUGAGCAAGCAUAUACUUUUGCAUGAUCUCAAGUUCGUGCAUGGCAUGCAUUCGUCAUUGGUGAGUUGCUACUAUUAUUACGUUGCAUAGUAGGGACCAAGUGGUCGGGUAGGUAGACACCCGAGCAUGCUUGCAUUGUGAGAGUAUAGCACCUGCUGGUGCAGGAAGAAGGCCAAGUGACACUAGCGAAUGGCUGGUGAUGGUUCUUGGAUGAGAAAUAGGGCUCGUGGCAAACGUGAUCUAGUAAAUGACUCUCGAAGCAUUGGAUAAGAGAUUGUGAGAGUUGAGCCUUGAUGUUUGGGGAUACUCGAAUAUUCUAAGAGUAUCUCGGAUGGGGAUUCGGUAGAUCGAACAGUGAAGACGAACUACUGUUGCGAAAUUGGUCGAUUAGCGCCGAGUUUGGCCUGUGGGCCUAGUAGUACCUCGAAUUGAGGUGAACUAGUUGUGCUCGUGUAGUCAGCGGGCAUAGGCAAGUUGCCUGAUGCUAAACUUCGUGUGAGACGCUGUAGAGGCGUAGAGCGCUCCAGUAUAGUUACUCGUGAAGUGUGAUUUCGAUUCAGCCAGUCGAGUGAAUUGGCAGUAGCACUUUAGCAGGGCUAAGUGUGAAGCGGGCCAUGGAUCACUCGUGGGGACUGGUGGCUUGCACUAGGUGCCUAGGAGCCGAUAGAGUGUGUAGCUCUGUAGAGCAUGUCGUGUAGGACGACGUUGGCGGGUAGCGCUUGGGGACAACCCGUGUCUGGACCAAUUGUGGACUGUGGAGCUUAGGCCCAUCGGGCAGGCGCAGUCAGCUGUGAGAGAUAGCGGCCCGAUACCUGCAGGUAGGGCGGAGUGUUGGUCAGGACCGUAGUUCGAGCUUGGACCCGGGUACGUGGAAUGCCACGUGUUAGAUCAUGAGAUUGAUGACACACUGGGUGUGUACUGACCCAACACGUGGACUUGACGUGGUUUGGAGUCUUGGUUGCUCCUGGUUGGAGUGUGUGCGAAUUCUCCAAUGAGAAUGUCGCCCGAUGAUGAUUGGGUCUGCGCUUGCGAGCGAGAGAUGCUAGGUAUCAUUGAGACGAGUUAGGCGAUUGGCCUACGUAGGAUUGGUGGCCCUUGGUUCACCUGUGCAAACCGACGGUCGGUGCGGCCGACAACUCUGUUAGUGAAGUUUUGGCCUGAACCUCGGAUGGUGGGUUCGUGAAGGUUCGUUGUAAGAGCGAAUGGAAGUUGAUCGUGGCUCACCGUAUCGAGGAUAGAGAGAAAGUAAAGUGGUCUCUAGGAGACACUUGAAUAAUGGAUAGCCACGCGAGGAUUGGAGUUUGAGGAUGAUGCUCUCAAGAGGAUAGAGAUCAGAGAUGUGUGGGAUUGUACCAUCUCGUGAGAGCAGAGAUUCGAUUGGGAUUGAAGCACUCGCGAUUGGGUCGAGGCAUCAAUGAUAUUGCUUCUAGGCAAUGCCGGUGAUCGGAUUGGAGUGUGUUCCUUGAAGUGAAGAGGAAUGCGAAGCGGAGAGGUAUCGAGCUCUCGAAUAGCCGAAGUAGUGGAGUGCCACUUUGCGGAUGCUUGAGUAAUUCGAGAGGGUCUACUCGUGCGCAUAGUGUUGUGGUGGUGGAUCGUUCGUUUAGUUGAUGCGAUCUUGCUAGAUCCACACCACAAGGACAAAGGGUAGUCCUGAUCUCGAGGGAUGGUGAUGUUUAGUAGAACUGCGAAGGAACGAGUCCUUCUUAAGCCGAGUGGUUGGUGGUGUUAGACUGUGUGGGGUCAUACAUAUUGACUUACGCUACCACCGGGGCCUGUGAGGCCAUAAUGCACUUUCGAUGUUACAGGUGGAAAAUGUGAGUGAAAUUGGUCUCACAUCUCCCGUAGUGGGCAUUUGGAUGAUUCCGAUAAGGAAAAGGCCACUUCGAAGUGCAAAAGUGCAUUGGAACCCUCGAUUAAGUAGUGAGUUGAAUUGAGGGGUGAUUUGGAGUUAUGAAUGAGUAAGUUUCGAGGACGAAACUUUUUUUAAGGAGGAGAGAAUGUAACAAAGUGAAUUCUCGAAAUCCGAGAGUUGCACUUCGUCCAAAAUCGACUAAUGGUCGAGUGGGUAUGCUUCGGAAAGGUCGAAGAUGUCAAAGACCCAAAAAGUGCAUUGGAAAUGAGUCCGCGAGAGCAAAGAUGCAAAAUCUGCAUUUUUAGCAGAUUUGCUCUCGGGGAUCGGUCUCUGGCAGGAGAGACCGGUUCCAUCGGCUGAGGGUGCGGGGUUGCUGAUGCAACCAGUCCCUAGCAGGGAGGGACCGGUCCCCGCAGGCGACACCAGCAAGAAUGGCCAAAAAUUGGCUAAGUCCCGCGAGACGAGCUCUCGGGGACCAGUCUCUGGUGGGCAGGCCAGUCUCCGGGGGACCGGUCUCUCAGGGAGAGACCGGUUCUCGAACGUGUGGAAAAUAGGAAGGUCCUCUGGGACCGGUCCCAUGUCGGGAAGACCGGUCCCUCCGCGCGGGUUCAGCCCAGUGAGGGCCAGUUGAGAGAUGGAAAGUUGAGGGGUUUCUUAGCAUUUUG